GGUGCGGGGCCGCAAUGGCGGCGUGCGCCUUGGGCGCGCAUCCCAGGAUAUUUCACUGUUCGAUGUGGUGCGCGUGAC
rnacentral:tRNA from 1 species